UCAGAGAUAGUUUAAAAAAAAUAUUAAUUUUGGGGAUUAAUGAUAGAGGUAAUUUUUCUCUGAA
rnacentral:tRNA from 1 species